rnacentral:rRNA from 1 species
UGUAUAAAACGGCGCACAGUCCCAAGUUACACGCGUACAUCUCGACUAGCGCAUCUCAAUGAGGAGGAAGAAGAAGAAAAACAAGAGGUAGUGCCAGAGUAGCCGAGAGAAGAGCCACAAAAAUCUCAUAUUAGAAAUGGCUCUCUCUCAGUGUCCGUGGUGUUUUUUGAAGAAGGUAUCGUUAGCUGUCCCUAUCGUCUAUGUUUCUUGCAACAGAUCGUCGCAGAGGAUGAUACUCCCUUGCGAUGAGAUUAUGCAGCCGUAUGUAAAUCUCUUUAGGAGAGUAGAGGUGUUUGAAAACACAUCUAAAAGGGGGUGAAAAAUUCCAUAAAAAUAAAAAUAUCCGGAGAGCCCUAUAGCGCACAAGUACAAUCGAAAAAGAAAAACGAACUAAAAAAGAGUUAAAAAACACACAAAAAUUGAAAAAGGGAAGCUUGCGAGAUCACUCGCUGGCGGGGUUCAGCUGGCUUUUGGGGCGUGGCCUUUCCACGCGGUCGGGCCAGCGUCGGUUUGGGCGGUCGGUCAAAGGCCCUCGGAAGGGCCGCCCCUAGGGGCGUCUUAUAGCCGUGGGUGCAAUGCCCAGCCCUAGACCGAGGAACGCGUUUCGCCUCGGACGUUGGCAUAAUGAUCGUAAAUGACCCGUCUUGAAACACGGACC